rnacentral:lncRNA from 1 species
UUUUAGGUUCAAAUUCUUUUCCCUUGAAUUUUGUUAAAAUUUUUUAAUCCCCUAUUUAGGACCUUCUGGUUUAAGUAAUGUUUUCGUUCAACUGAUAAUAAGAAUGUGCUUGUUGGUUUAGUGGUAAGACUUCAAUUUACUCUUUGGCCCUGUGUUCGAAUCCUCGUGUGUCACACGGGUUGGGUCAAUUGGGCCAUGUGGGUCCAUCUUUUGAAAAAUUUCAUGUAGACCGUUUGAUUCUGAAAUUUGUAAUUAAACUUUCCGUAAGGC